UACGGAGGUGGCAAGCGUUGCUCGGAAUCACUGGGCGUAAAGGGCGCGUAGGCGGGGAGGUAAGUCGGGUGUGAAAUCCCUCGGCCCAACCGAGGAACUGCGCCCGAGACUGCUUCUCUUGAGUCCCGGAGAGGAAGAUGGAAUUCCCGGUGUAGCGGUGAAAUGCGUAGAUAUUGGGAGGAACACCAGUGGCGAAGGCGGCUCACUGGACUGGUACUGACGCUGAGGCGCGAAAGCGUGGGGAGCAAACGGG
rnacentral:rRNA from 1 species